GCAACAGGGGUGCUCAUUGAGCUGAGAGGAGAAAUUCCGACCCUUUGAACCUGAUUCUGGUUAAUACCAGCGUAGGGAGUUUGC
rnacentral:ncRNA from 1 species